CUUGGGCACGGUGGUCCAUGCCUGUAAUCCCAGCAACUUGGGAAGCUGAGGCAGGGGGAUGGCAAGUUUGAGGCGAGCCUCAGCAUAUUAGUGAAGCCCUGGCAACUUAGUGAGACCUUGUCUCAA
rnacentral:sRNA from 1 species